UCCGCGUCUUUCCCUUUUUUCUCUUCCGUUUUCUGCCCUCGUCCUCAACGCUCCGAUUCUCCCACGCUUCCUUGCACAGGUAAUUUCUUUUCCCUCAUCCUCUUCCGACGUUUCUCAAUUUUUUCCUUUCCAGAUUUCUACUUCUUCUUCUGGUACGGUACGCUUCUUUUCUUCUCACAUUUCUUUUCUUUUCUCCAUUUUCUUUUCUCCAUAUUUCUGCUUCUUCUUCCAAAAUUUUCCCUGUUUUUCUUUUCUUUUCUUUUCUGUAGAAUCGAUUUUGAUUUUGAUUUUAUUUAUCUUUGUCGAAUUUCGAAACACUUCUAAUCGGGAAUAUCAUAUAAGUUGGAUGCUUUUCAUUCGUGUCUAGACACUCAUCGUCUUCUCUGAGAAUCGAUUUCAUUUGUCAGGUAAAAUUCCCAUAUUUUGCCUAUUAUUUUUCCCCUUUAUUUGCAUUCUUGCCUAUUGAUUUCUUUGUUCUAUUUUUCUUUCUUUAUUAUUUUUUUCUAAUUCGAGUCUCUUUUUACUAGAUCUAUGUUUUUUCUGCUGUUAUUUAUAAUCUCUUUGCAUGCAAACUAUUGUUUGGGGGGUGAUUUUGGGUUCAAGUUAUUGGGUUUGAAAAUGUUGUUGUUUUCUUUUUUCUUGGUCAAUUUUAGAAGACCAUUUAUAUGUAUGCUGUUCAAAUUUUCUGUUUUGAUUUGAUUUUUUUUCCUGUGAUAGAAUCUUUGAAAUAUUGUUUUCUUUUUCCUCAUUAUAUGUUACAUUAAGGAUAGUUGAUUAGAAGCGGGAUUUUUGUUUGUUGUAGAAUAUAAAUUUGUAGGUCAAAGUUGUAAUUAGUAGGUUACAUUGUGAAUUUGUGUAGUUGAAAUGCUAAGUUGUAGGAGGUGUUGAGUAUUUGUGUAGUUGAAAUGCUAAGUUGUAGGAGGUGUUGAGUAUUUGUAGUAGGUCGAAGUUGUAAUUAGUAGGUUACAUUGUAAUUAGUAGGUUACAUUGUGAAUUUGUGUAGUUGAAAUGCUAAGUUGCGAGGAGUUUAGCAACUUAAAAAGCUAAUUGUAAGCUAUUGUGAUUGGGGAGGUAGUAGUAGGGGAAUCAGGUAUGAUUUUAAUCCUUCUGUUUUUUUCCACUUGUUAACUUUUAUAUAAACCUCUUGAGUAUUAUCUUCUAAACUUUCUGGCUUAUAUUUUUUUUGGUAUAUUUGCUUGACACCUCUGGAGUAAAGUGCUUUUUCGAAAUCUCAAUGUUUGUUUCUGUAACAACCCGAUUUUGACCCAAAUCGGAACAGUGGUUUCGGGACCACACAUCCGAGUCUGAAAAAUAUUUUAAUAUUUUUUUCUGUGUUUAUUAUGUGUGAAUUUAUAUAUGUGAAAGUUUCGUGAAUUAAUUUUAUUGUUUGAGUGCUUAAUUUGAGAAUAGGGCUUAAUCGAGUAAAAUAAAAAUUUAGUGGUUAUUUUUAGAAAGGCCAAAUAGUGGAUGUUCUUUUAAUAUGAAGGUUUCAUGUUGCAAUUUUGCCAUUGAAUUAAUGAAUGGACGGCACUAUGUAUAUAUUAUAUAGUUUUUAUAGUAAUUAUAAAGGUUAUAAUAAUAAAUAAUAUAUUAUAAAGUUACUAUAAUAAAAAAACAAACAUAAGUUAAAAAGCUAUUAUCAUUUCUUUUGUUUCUACUAACCGAAUGUAAAAGAAAAGAAAAAGGAAAGAACAAGCUAAGGGUUCGGCCAUUUUGAAUUUUGAUUAAGGUUAGUUCUUUGUUCGGUUUUUGAUAAUUUUUACAUUUUUGAGAUCGUUGCUUUGUGUUCUUUAAAGCCCAUGCUUCAAUUUUGUGAAUUGGUGAUGAUUUUGAAAUUUGCCAUUGAUGUUAGCUUGAUGUUUUUGUGGUUUGAUGAUGAAAGAUAAACUUUUGUUGAUAGAUUAUUAUGUUUAAUUAAGUAAUUUUUGAUAAAAAAGUGUAUUAAGGAUUAAAUUGAGAAAAGUGUAAAAUUCAAGGUCAAAUGUGUGAAUAAACUAAAAAUAUGGGCUGCUAGUAGUAUGGGUAGAAUUCGGCCUAACAAGGAUUUAGUGAAAUUUUGUGUAUUUUAUGUUAUUUUGAAAUAAGGACUAAAUUGAGAAAAAUGCGAAAUGUUAGGGGCUAAAAUGCAAAUUACCAUUUAUAUGUUCUUGAAUGAAAAUUUAAUGAAAUGUUGAAUAAUUAAGUUAAAUUUGAUAUUAAUUUAGAUUGGAAAAGGUGGAAAUCGGAUUUGGAUCGGGAAAAUCGGAAGUUAUCGAUUAGUCGUUCCGGUCCGUUCGCAUCCGUACGAGGUAAGUUCAUAAGUAAAUAAAUGCUGUUAAAUUUGAAUGUAUAUAUGUUAUAUGUGCUGAAUUUAUCUUUAAUAAAUAUAUGUGCAUAUGCUGAAUUGAAUUUAGAGUUGGAGAACUAGUUACGAGCUUGAAUCGAUAGAAUUACGACGUCCGAAAAGCCCCGUACGAACCAUAGGAAUAGUUAGGAUACAUAUGUCAUGACAUAGGAUUCCGAUAUAUGUUAUCGUGUAAGACCACGUCUGGGACGUUGGCAUCGAUUUGAGAUUUAUGUAUAAGACCAUGUCUGGGACAUCGGCAUCAUAUUUGAUUUCGUGUAAGACCCUGUCUGGGACAGUGGCAUCGAUAUUGAUUACAUGUAAGACCACGUCUGGGACGUUGGCAUUGUCCGAUUUUUUUUGAGCUAUCCAAGUAUCCUAUUUGAUUCUGAACGGUUCAACGGGGUAUUCCGAGAAAUAAAUGAGUAUAUGAGUGUGCAGCCGAAUCAGGUAUGUUUGUGAUGAAUGUGAAUUUGAGCAAUGAAAGUAAGUAUGAUUAUGAUUAUUCGUUAUAUAAUUUAUGUGAAAAUGAGAUGUGAAUUGUUAUGCUUAUUCGGGCUUGGAAGUGUAUAAAAAGAAAUUGAUAUAUUUUUUUUACGAAUAAACUGUAAUAAAUGAUCAUGAUUCGGUUGGUAUGUAAUGAAAUUGUGGAAGCUUAAUCCUACGAAUGAGCUAAUGGUAGAUAUAUAAAUUUGAAAAAAACGGUUUAUAUGUCCAUCCAUAAUUAACUCUAGUGAAGUUACCUAGUGUGGUCUUAAGAAAUUGAGAUUAUGAUGAAUGUAUAUGUGGUUGAGAUUUUUUAAAUUCAGCUUAGUUAAAUUGAAUUAUAAACAUUAUUGGAAUGAUUUAUUUGCUUAUGGCUUACUAAGCUUUCAAAGCUUACUCUGUGUGUUUUUCCUAUGUUAUAGAGUUUCGGAGACUUACUCGGGUUGGAAGUCUCGGGAGAUCUCAUCACACUAUCUAGUAUUCAUUUCGGUAAAUAAACGCUUUGAGAUUUGGUUAUGUGGCAUGUAUAGGUUAGUUUUGAUAUAUUUGAUUUUUGAAAUUUGUAUAUGUAUAUAGCCAUGCGAAAAUGGCUUGUUCAUGAUGCAAAUGUUGGUAAUUAUAUUUGGUCAUGUUAUAAGCUUAAUUGAGAGGUAUGAUUUAUGGUAAAUAUGUUGUGAUGUUGGUUAUAAGAUUUGGCAAUGAGAAGUGGUAAGUAGGGUAUAUAUUCGGCUUAUUAAUUAACUUACUUUGGUGGCAUGAAAAGUGGUAUAAUAUGGUUUGGUAAAAGGGGUCAUUUGAAUAUCUAUAAAUGACAUAUUGUUUUGAUGUUAAGAUAUGAGAUACUAUGUUUAUCUUAUAGACUGGGUGAUGGAGAUGUUAUGAUUUAUUGAGUUAAAUUUGAUAACCGAAAGGUUAUUUUUUUUAAAUUGUUGGACAUUUGAGAUAUGAAUACAUAUGCCUAUUUAAUGUUUGCUUGUAGUUUCGUUUUAAAAAGGUCAAAUCAUUGAUUCAAUGAUGGUUAUAAAAUGUGUUAUAUAUAUAUAGGUAGUUAUAUGUUCGGCUAUGGUAUUUGACUAUUUAGGCUCGAUUUUUGAAUGACAAAGAAUGUAUAUGAUCUAAUUGAUAUGGAGGUUAAUUGAAUGAUUGAUUAUUGAAAAUAUUAAUUGGUUGUGUAUAUGAAUUAUAGGCAUGAUAAUUCGCAUGCGAAUUAGGUAUGGGGUUCAUGUGUGUGGUUGAAUAUAACAUGUUAGAUAUGCUAUUUAGCUUGCAAAUUAGAUAUUUUAUGACUUGGCAUUUGUAUUCGAAAAUGGUUAAAUUUGAUUUAGUAAAAUGUACAUAAGGUUAUAAUGUUUAAAAUGCUAUGAUUUGGUAAUUGAAUUUAGAAAUGACUUUUGGUUUUAGGGUGUUAUGCACAUGGUUGGAUGAUGUAAAAAAAAACUUAGUUGGUCAUGUAUAAAGUUACCUAACGUUUUAUGUGCAAAUGGUUAUUAAACUGUGAGAUAUGGCUAAAUUAGUUUAACAGGUGUAUGUAUAAUUUUUAUUAAAUAUUACGUUUGUUAUUUAGUUUGGUUUUGAUAUUUGAUGGCUUGGCUUGAAAGUUUUGAAUUAGCAAACGUAAUUGAAAUGGUUAGAUAUUGAAAUAUAGUUCGUAUAAGAGAAUGUUCGAUAAAGCAUGAUCUGUGUGGUUAGAUAUGUGAUUCGAAUAAAUGAUUUUAACUUGUAUGAAUAAGAGGUUGGUUUAUUAAUUUAUUUCGAAAAAUUUUAUAAGGGAGAAUACAUUACUGGGCCUAUGAAUUGUAAAGAAUGUCUGUUCUGAAAUGUGUUUUGUUUGGUAAUACCUCGUAAUCCUAGUCCGGCGAUGGACACGGGUUAAGGGUGUUACAGUUUCAUUUCUCCUUUCAAUUCCAACAUUGCAAUGUGUUUUUCUCGUCUUUGUUUGCCUAAUAAAGCAGGUACUUUUUUGUUAAAUGUUUUCUUGAUCUGUUGGCCAAGAGUUUGUGCUAAGAUUUGCAUUUCAACUUUAGGUAUUAUUCUUGUUUAUGCUGUGGAGACUCGUAUCUAUAUAUAAACUAAACUAUUGAACCACUUCUGAGUAAUUUGCAAAUAAUGAAUGAACCAGCUUCUCAAGCUAGUAUUAAGCUGUGUCACUUUCAUCUGCGCAUAAUGUGAUGGUUUGAUAGUUGAAAUUAUGGAUGAUCUGAAUCUAGCUAUAGGUGAUUAAAUACAUGAUCACCAAAGUAGUGGCAUCCAUCUAAAGUAGUUUUCUACCUUCCUGGGCUAAGUUCAGUUAAGUCUAUAUCAUCAUCCUCCCAUUGGCAUAUUGCAUUCAUUUUAGCUAUAGAGUUAUUUGCACAAUUGGUGAUUAUCGUUUGACAUUUCUCAAUCUUCUAUACUGGCCUAGUAGUCAUUCUUCUCUCCUAACCUUUCUCAUAUGUGAUCAACUGUACUGUUUUAUUGCAAGCGCAGUCUCCUAACUACAAUGCUACCCUGAAACAAAUUUUCCCCAAUAUUCAGCAAAUCGAUUCUGAGGUAUUGGCUUAGAAAUUUUGGUAGGUUCUGGACUUUUGUAGUUGAAUGUUCAUAAAUUUGCAAUCACACGUGUAGUAUGCUAACGGUAACAUCUCCAGUCCCUUGUUGUCUGGAGCUUGUGAGUUUGCAAAUGUUGCUAGGGGAAAACAGGGUUCUGGAAGUGAUCCCUAAUACAUGACAACCAGCAGGAAGCAUGUGAGUGCUUGGUGGGAUGAUAUUAGCAGCAGACCGUCCUAGCAGAAGGUUCUCCAGCUCUAUGCUCCUCAUUUCUAAGAAUUGAAAAUGAUGCAAUCUGGGGAUGGGGUCUUUUUAAUGAUGUCUGCUUUGUUGUUUAGCAGUUUGGUUUGGUUUGGGGUCUGGUCUUUGACUGUUUUAAGAGGCCAACUAGUUAUCCUGUGUUAGUUAUACUUACAAUAAAAUGUUGGUAGGGGUAGGGGGUUACAAUUAUCGUUUUGUUUGCCUAUGUUUGAUAUUAUGAAUAAAGAUGAAGAAAUCAUGGAG
rnacentral:lncRNA from 1 species